AAGACCAAGGCUUAGUACCUGUCCACACUACGAAGGGGCAGCUCACCUGGUCUGGUCUGGCCAACCGGAGAUAGUGUCUUUCCUAUCUAUGCUCAGACGGACAAAAAUUUGCAACAUCGAAAAAGAACUGCGAAGCGAAACAUUGAGAAAAAGGCCAAAUCUCGAGUAGGCACCGCUCUAGUCGCAUGAUGAUCGCAUGCUCGCAUAAUAUCAGAUGGGCAAACGUGUUCGCGGGAGGUCGGGUUGAAGAAAAUAUGCAGAGGCACUAAUCGUGAUAUCGGCUGGCAGCUAUAGCCGAGAGCAAAGCUCAGGAGAUAAAGAUACGUUUUUGAAUCAGCGGUAAAUGACAAAUAAUGAACAAUUUGUCCAAACAAUCCUCAACGUAACUGCG